GUAAGAGAUGUGCCCUGUGAUGUUCUAAAACCUCUAUUUUUCCAGACUCUUGCAUGGUGAUGGACAGCUGCAAACACAUAUUGACUAUCAGUGUAGAUAGUAAAGACUCCAACAGCAGGACUGUGGUACAGCAGCCUGUGUCUGACACAUUGCAGCCAGGAGACUCUGUGAGCCUGCAGUGUACGAUAGAGACUGGGAGCUGUGCAGGAGAACACAGUGUUUACUGGUUCAGACAUGGAUCAGGAGAAUCCCUUCCUGGAGUCAUUUACAGCCCUGGAAACAGCAGUGAUGAGUGUGAGAAGAGCCCUGAGGCUGGAUCUCCUACACGGAGCUGCGUCUACAGCCUCCCCAAGGGGAACCUCAGCCUCUCCGAUGCUGGGACUUACUACUGCGCUGUGGCCAUGUGUGGGGAGAUGCUGUUUGGGAACGGCACAUAGCUGGAUAUAGAUGGUAACACCC